AUUUCGCGUGUCACGUGAUGCGUGAUAACCAGUAAUAGAGUGUUUGACGGAUUUAUGCGCACGUAGCGGGACACAGUGACCCUGAAGUCCUUCGGGGAGAUUUUAUUUCUCUUUUUGGGUUGUUUCGGGUUGUUUCUGUGGCUGAUGGGGGCCGCGGACAGCAAGAGCAAUCUGUGUCGUACGGACUCGAUGAACAGGACAAUGUCACGGUCAUCCACGGGGUCAAGUUGUCUGUGGUGAUGUUCUUCAGCGGAUGCGGGAGUCUGGACCAUCAUCAUCAUCAUCAUCAUCAUCACCCGGAGCAGAGAGUGCCAAACCUGCACCAGGGCCGUCCAGAUCAGCUGCAGAGACACAGGAGGAGCUCAGAAGACGGUCAGUGUGUUACAUAUUUAUCAGUAUUUCUGAAGACAGUCUCUGACAUAAUAACUAUUGCAACUCUGUUAAAAAUCAGUAAAUUGUUUGGUAACACU